rnacentral:rRNA from 1 species
AUUGAACGCUGGCGGCAGGCCUAACACAUGCAAGUCGAGCGGGGGUAGCAAUACCCUAGCGGCGAACGGGUGAGGAAUGCUUGGGAAUCUGCCUGGUAGUGGGGGAUAACGUUCCGAAAGGAACGCUAAUACCGCAUACGUCCUACGGGAGAAAGGGGGGGAUCUUCGGACCUCUCGCUAUCAGAUGAGCCCAAGCGGGAUUAGCUAGUUGGUGAGGUAAAGGCUCACCAAGGCGACGAUCCCUAGCUGGUCUGAGAGGAUGAUCAGCCACACUGGAACUGAGACACGGUCCAGACUCCUACGGGAGGCAGCAGUGGGGAAUAUUGGACAAUGGGCGAAAGCCUGAUCCAGCCAUGCCGCGUGUGUG